rnacentral:rRNA from 1 species
UACGAAGGGCGCUAGCGUUGUUCGGAAUCACUGGGCGUAAAGCGCACGUAGGCGGCUGGGUCAGUCAGGGGUGAAAUCCCGGAGCUCAACUUCGGAACUGCCUUUGAUACAGCACGUCUUGAGUCCGGAAGAGGUGGGUGGAAUUCCUAGUGUAGAGGUGAAAUUCGUAGAUAUUAGGAAGAACACCGGUGGCGAAGGCGGCCCACUGGUCCGGUACUGACGCUGAGGUGCGAAAGCGUGGGGAGCAAACAGG